GAAAUGCGAUAAGUAAUGGGAAUUGCAGAAUUCAGUGAAUCAUCGAAUCUUUGAACGCACAUUGCGCCCGCCAGUAUUCUGGCGGGCAUGCCUGUCCGAGCGUCAUUUCAACCAUCAAGCCCCCGGGCUUGUGUUGGGGACCUGCGGCUGCCCGCAGGCCCUGAAAACCAGUGGCGGGCUCGCUGUCACACCGAGCGUAGUAGCAAUCACCUCGCUCAGGGCGUGCUGCGGGUUCCGGCCGUUAAACAGCCUUACAAAACCCAAGGUUGACCUCGGAUCAGGUAGGAAGACCCGCUGAACUUAAGC
rnacentral:misc_RNA from 1 species